rnacentral:rRNA from 1 species
CACACCGCCCGUCGCUACUACCGAUUGAAUGGCUCAGUGAGGCUUCCGGACUGGCCUAGAGGAGUCGGCAACGACACCUCGGGGCCGGAAAGUUAUCCAAACUCGGUCAUUUAGAGGAAGUAAAAGUCGUAACAAGGUCUCCGUUGGUGAACCAGCGGAGGGAUCAUUACAGAGUACAACUCUCCAACCCACGCGAACCUACCUAGAAGUUGCUUCGGCGGCUCCCGCGAGGCCACACGGCCCCGCGCUACGCCGCCGACGGCACGCUAAACUCUGUUUACUUGCAUUCUGAACAAAACAAACAAAUAAGUUAAAACUUUCAACAACGGAUCUCUUGGUUCUGGCAUCGAUGAAGAACGCAGCGAAAUGCGAUAAGUAAUGUGAAUUGCAGAAUUCAGUGAAUCAUCGAAUCUUUGAACGCACAUUGCGCCCAUUAGUAUUCUAGUGGGCAUGCCUGUUCGAGCGUCAUUUCAACCUCUCAAGCCUCGUUGCUUGGUGUUGGGACUCUGCGUCUUAGCAGUUCCCUAAAGCUAGUGGCGGAGCUGGAUAGCACUCUGAGCGUAGUAAAUCACCUCGCUUCUGUGGGCUUCCGGCGCCGGCCGUUAAACCUUACUUUGCAAGAGUAAAUAUUCUGGUUGACCUCGGAUCAGGUAGGAAUACCCGCUGAACUUAAGCAUAUCAAUAAGCGGAGGAAAAGAAACCAACAGGGAUUGCCCUAGUAACGGCGAGUGAAGCGGCAACAGCUCAAAUUUGAAAUCUGGCCCUUGGGUCCGAGUUGUAAUUUGCAGAGGAUGUUUUUGGCGUGGUGCCUUCUGAGUUCUCUGGAACGAGACGCCUUAGAGGGUGAGAGCCCCGUACAGUCGGACGCCUAGCCUAUAUAAAACUCCUUCGACGAGUCGAGUUGUUUGGGAAUGCAGCUCAAAAUGGGAGGUAAAUUUCUUCUAAAGCUAAAUACCGGCCAGAGACCGAUAGCGCACAAGUAGAGUGAUCGAAAGAUGAAAAGCACUUUGAAAAGAGGGUUAAACAGCACGUGAAAUUGUUGAAAGGGAAGCGUUUGCGACCAGAUCUCUGCCGGGCGGAUCAUGCGGUGUUCUCACCGCUGCACACCGCCCGGCCGAGGCCAGCAUCGGUCUGUGCGGGGGGACAAAAGUCUGAGGAACGUGGCUCCCCCGGGAGUGUUAUAGCCUCUUACAUAAUACCCCCGCGUGGACCGAGGUACGCGCUCUGCAAGGAUGCUGGCGUAAUGGUCGUCAACGACCCGUCUUGAAACACGGACCAAGGAGUCGAACAUUUGUGCGAGUGUUUGGGUGUCAAACCCUCACGCGUAAUGAAAGUGAACGGAGGUGAGAGCCCUUACGGGGUGCAUCAUCGACCGAUCCUGAAGUCUUCGGAUGGAUUUGAGUAAGAGCAUAACUGUUCGGACCCGAAAGAUGGUGAACUAUGCGUGGAUAGGGUGAAGCCAGAGGAAACUCUGGUGGAGGCUCGCAGCGGUUCUGACGUGCAAAUCGAUCGUCAAAUCUGCGCAUGGGGGCGAAAGUGAGUUUCUCUCCCUGCCAGUAUUAUCUUAGACGAGC